rnacentral:rRNA from 2 species
UAGCAAUACUGGGUGGCGAGUGGCGCACGGGUGCGUAACGCGUAUGCAACCUACCUCUAUCUGGGAGAUAGCCCGAAGAAAUUCAGAUUAAUACCCCAUAAUAUAUGUCUUUCGCAUGUUAGACAUAUUAAAGCUUUGGCGGAUAGAGAUGGGCAUGCGUGACAUUAGCUAGUUGGUAAGGUAACGGCUUACCAAGGCUACGAUGUCUAGGGGGUCUGAGAGGAUUAUCCCCCACACUGGUACUGAGACACGGACCAGACUCC